rnacentral:rRNA from 1 species
AUACGGAGGGGACAAGCGUUAUUCGGAAUCACUGGGCGUAAAGGACGCGUAGGCGGGUUAUUAAGUCGGGUGUGAAAUCCAAUGGCUCAACCAUUGAACUGCAUUCGAAACUGAUAACCUAGAGUAUGGAAGGGGCGGGUGGAAUUAGUGGUGUAGGGGUAAAAUCCGUAGAUAUCACUAGGAAUACCGAAAGCGAAGGCGACCUGCUGGGACAUUACUGACGCUGAGGCGUGAAAGCGUGGGGAGCAAACAGGAUUAGAAACCCCAGUAGUCC